rnacentral:rRNA from 1 species
UGGGGAAUUUUGCACAAUGGGGGAAACCCUGAUGCAGCGACGCCGCGUGAUUUAGAAGGCCUUCGGGUUGUAAAAAUCUUUUUUACGGGAUGAAAAUGACAGUACCGUAAGAAUAAGGUCCGGCUAAAUACGUGCCAGCAGCCGCGGUAAUACGUAUGGACCGAGCGUUGUCCGGAAUCAUUGGGCGUAAAGGGUACGUAGGCGGCCUAGUAAGUUAGAAGUGAAAUAAUAUAGCUCAACUAUAUAAAGCUUUUAAAACUGCUAGGCUUGAGAGAUGGAAGGGAAAGAGGAAUUCCUAGUGUAGCGGUGAAAUGCGCAGAUAUUAGGAAGAAUACCGGUGGCGAAGGCGACUUUCUGGUCAUCAUCUGACGCUGAGGUACGAAAGCGUGGGUAGCAAACAGG